rnacentral:rRNA from 1 species
GUCUCUUUGAGUAAUAUUAAUAGAGAGUUGGGCCUGCUCGGUGAUUUAUAUUUAACAGCUGCGGUAUUAUAACUGUACUAAGGUAGCAUAGUAAUUUGCCUUAUAAAUUAAGGCUAGAAUGAAUGGUUUGACGAAAAUUAAUCUGUCUCUAUUUUAUUUACUAGAAGUUAAUUUUUAUAGUGAAAAAGCUUAAAUGAUUUAAAGGGACGAAAAGACCCUAUUGAGCUUAUAUUAAUAAUUAAUAUAAAUAAAUAAAUAUAUUAAGUGAGUUAAUUUUGGUUGGGGUGAUCAAGGAAUAAAAAGUAGUAUUUAUAAUAACUUCCUUAAUUUUAUAAUUUUUGUUGAGUAAUAAACCAAAUAUUUUUGCUUAUAUGAUAAGUUACCAUAGGGAUAACAGCGUAAUUUUUUUUGAGAGUUCAUAUUGAGAAAAGAGAUUGCGACCUCGAUGUUGGAUUAAAAUAACCUUAAGGUGUAGAGGCUUUAUUAGGUAAAUCUGUUCGAUUUUUAAAAUUUU